rnacentral:rRNA from 1 species
UGGGCAAUGGGCGAAAGCCUGACCCAGCAACGCCGCGUGAGGGAUGAAGUAUUUCGGUAUGUAAACCUCGAAAGAAUGGGAAGAAUAAAUGACGGUACCAUUUAUAAUCUCCGGCUAACUACGUGCCAGCAGCCGCGGUAAUACGUAGGGAGCAAGCGUCGUUCGGAUUUACUGGGCGUAAAGGGCGCGUAGGCGGCGCGGUAAGUCACUUGUGAAAUCUCUGAGCUUAACUCAGAACGGCCAAGUGAUACUGCUGUGCUAGAGUGCGGAAGAGGCCACCGGAAUUCUUGGUGUAGCGGUGGAAUGCGUAGAUAUCAAGGGGAACACCUGAGGCGAAGGCGGGUUGCUGGGCCGACACUGACGCUGAGGCGCGAAAGCCAGGGGAGCAAACG